UGUCCCCUGCUACUGUGUUGUUCAUACAUCUUCUCUAGUUCUCUUCUCUUUCCUACAAAAACCAAGACACACUACACAGUUUCAACACAUAAAAUCUCAGAGCUCCCUCCUCUAUAUCUAAAAUCCUCUUCCCUUUGUGUCUUUUCUUGUGCCCUUCGCCUCAAUAUUUAUUUAUUUUUAAAAUUUUCAAGAAACUUUAAAGAACUCGUUUUUCCUUCGAUCUCCAUUUUUCUUUUUGCUGAAAUUCCACUCAAGAAACAAAACGCCGUCGUUUCAGAGAACUAUAUUGUAGUAGAAUGCUUAUGGGUUAUGGUCGUUCACUUGUGGCCGAGUUUCUACUUUCUGGUGAUUGCCCAUCUGGUUAACUUACUCAGAAUAAAAAAGGUUAUAUUGGAUAGAUGUCUUUUCGGAAGUAUAUUCCCCCUUCUGAUGCACCAUCUGGAAGUAUGAAGUCAUUGAACUUAUCUGGAAAGGCAAAUCAAAAUUCUCAACCAUCUGAUCCACAAAGAUCAACUGAGGCUGAUGUGGACAUCGACAUGGGUGAGGUCUAUUUCUUGAUUAUGCAUUUCCUA